CUUAACACAUGCAAGUCGAACGAUGAUGCUGGAGCUUGCUCCAGUUGAUUAGUGGCGAACGGGUGAGUAACACGUGAGCAAUCUGCCCUUGACUCUGGGAUAACUGCGGGAAACUGUAGCUAAUACCGGAUACUUUCACCGGAAGGCAUCUUCUGGUGAUGAAAGAAUUUCGGUCAGGGAUGAGCUCGCGGCCUAUCAGCUUGUUGGUGAGGUAACGGCUCACCAAGGCGACGACGGGUAACCGGCCUGAGAGGGUGACCGGUCACACUGGGACUGAGACACGGCCCAGACUCCUACGGGAGGCAGCAGUGGGGAAUAUUGCACAAUGGGCGCAAGCCUGAUGCAGCAACGCCGCGUGAGGGAUGAAGGCCUUCGGAUUGUAAACCUCUUUCAGUAGGGAAGAAGCGAAAGUGACGGUACCUAAAGAAGAAGCACCGGCUAACUAUGUGCCAGCAGCCGCGGUAAUACAUAGGGUGCAAGCGUUGUCCGGAAUUAUUGGGCGUAAAGAGCUCGUAGGUCGUUUGUCGCGUCGAUUGUGAAAAUCUGAGGCUCAACCUCAGACCUGCAGUCGAUACGGGCAAACUAGAGUGUGGUAGGGGAGACUGGAAUUCCUGGUGUAGCGGUGGAAUGCGCAGAUAUCAGGAGGAACACCAAUGGCGAAGGCAGGUCUCUGGGCCAUAACUGACACUGAGGAGCGAAAGUGCGGGGAGCGAACAGGAUUAGAUACCCUGGUAGUCCGCACCGUAAACGGUGGGCACUAGUUGUGGGAACCUUCCACGGUUUCCGCGACGCAGCUAACGCAUUAAGUGCCCCGCCUGGGGAGUACGAUCGCAAGAUUAAAACUCAAAGGAAUUGACGG
rnacentral:rRNA from 1 species